AUACGGAGGAUGCGAGCGUUAUCCGGAUUUAUUGGGUUUAAAGGGAGCGUAGGCGGGAGCUUAAGUCAGCGGUUAAAUGGUGCGGCUCAACCGUGCCCUGCCGUUGAAACUGGGUUUCUUGAGAGUGCAAGAGGCGGAUGGAAUUCAUGGUGUAGCGGUGAAAUGCUUAGAUAUCAUGAAGAACUCCGAUUGCGAAGGCAGUCCGCUGGGGCACGUCUGACGCUGAUGCUCGAAGGUGCGGGAAUCAAACAGGAUUGGAUACCCUGGUAGUCCGCACGAUAAACGAUGAUUACCCGCUGUCGGCGGUAGACAGUCGGCGGCCAAGCGAAAGCGAUAAGUAAUCCACCUGGGGAGUACGCCGGCAACGGUGAAACUCAAAUGAAUUGGCGGGG
rnacentral:rRNA from 1 species